GUGCUCGCUUGAGCAGUACAUACAAUAAAAUUGGAGCAAUACAGAAAAGAUUAGCAUGGCUUCUGCACAAGGGUGACCUGCAAAUUCGUGAAGCGUUCUGCAUUUUA